GACGAACGCUGGCGGCGUGCUUAACACAUGCAAGUCGAACGGAAAGGCCCUGCUUUUGUGGGGUGCUCGAGUGGCGAACGGGUGAGUAACACGUGAGUAACCUGCCCUUGACUUUGGGAUAACUUCAGGAAACUGGGGCUAAUACCGGAUAGGAGCUCCUGCUGCAUGGUGGGGGUUGGAAAGUUUCGGCGGUUGGGGAUGGACUCGCGGCUUAUCAGCUUGUUGGUGGGGUAGUGGCUUACCAAGGCUUUGACGGGUAGCCGGCCUGAGAGGGUGACCGGCCACAUUGGGACUGAGAUACGGCCCAGACUCCUACGGGAGGCAGCAGUGGGGAAUAUUGCACAAUGGGCGGAAGCCUGAUGCAGCAACGCCGCGUGCGGGAUGACGGCCUUCGGGUUGUAAACCGCUUUCGCCUGUGACGAAGCGUGAGUGACGGUACUGGGUAAAGAAGCACCGGCUAACUACGUGCCAGCAGCCGCGGUGAUACGUAGGGUGCGAGCGUUGUCCGGAUUUAUUGGGCGUAAAGGGCUCGUAGGUGGUUGAUCGCGUCGGAAGUGUAAUCUUGGGGCUUAACCCUGAGCGUGCUUUCGAUACGGGUUGACUUGAGGAAGGUAGGGGAGAAUGGAAUUCCUGGUGGAGCGGUGGAAUGCGCAGAUAUCAGGAGGAACACCAGUGGCGAAGGCGGUUCUCUGGGCCUUUCCUGACGCUGAGGAGCGAAAGCGUGGGGAGCGAACAGGCUUAGAUACCCUGGUAGUCCACGCUGUAAACGGUGGGUACUAGGUGUGGGGUCCAUUCCACGGGUUCCGUGCCGUAGCUAACGCUUUAAGUACCCCGCCUGGGGAGUACGGCCGCAAGGCUAAAACUCAAAGGAAUUGACGGGGCCCCGCACAAGCGGCGGAGCAUGCGGAUUAAUUCGAUGCAACGCGUAGAACCUUACCUGGGUUUGACAUGGAUCGGGAGUGCUCAGAGAUGGGUGUGCCUCUUUUGGGGUCGGUUCACAGGUGGUGCAUGGCUGUCGUCAGCUCGUGUCGUGAGAUGUUGGGUUAAGUCCCGCAACGAGCGCAACCCUUGUUCACUGUUGCCAGCACGUUAUGGUGGGGACUCAGUGGAGACCGCCGGGGUCAACUCGGGGGAAGGUGGGGAUGACGUCAAGUCAUCAUGCCCCUUAUGUCCAGGGCUUCACGCAUGCUACAAUGGCUGGUACAGAGAGUGGCGAGCCUGUGAGGGUGAGCGAAUCUCGGAAAGCCGGUCUCAGUUCGGAUUGGGGUCUGCAACUCGACCUCAUGAAGUCGGAGUCGCUAGUAAUCGCAGAUCAGCAACGCUGCGGUGAAUACGUUCCCGGGGCU
rnacentral:rRNA from 1 species